rnacentral:rRNA from 1 species
GAUGAAGAACGCAGCGAAAUGCGAUACGCAAUGCGAAUUGCAGAACCGCGAGUCAUCAGAUCUUUGAACGCAAGUGGCAAUGUCUUAGGACAUUAUGUUUGUUUCAGUGU